rnacentral:sRNA from 1 species
AUUGCACCCGAACCUCGGGCGACUGAAAAGCCACCGCCCCCACCCCAAACUGCGAGCCGCGCUCCUGGCGCACCCGCCUCCCGCCGGCCUAGCUGCAAUGACCGCACCGGCCCGAAGGUCUCGGUCUCUCCGACCCGGGAUGUGGAGCCCGAAAGAGUGGUGGGAACCCCAGCCCGGGAGGGACGCGGCCGCCGCUCGGGCCAGAUCCCCUUAUCCAGGCCACCUUUGGAAACCAGCCCACCUGCUACACCAACCUUUUCCCAACACCGUGGUCCCACCCCUACCUCCGCUGCUGAAAAACCGCAUUGUGUGGGGGUCUGGAAUCUUCUGGACUCCUGGGAGCCCAAUCCGCUUGCCUCUUGUACCCCUCUUGCAGAGCAAUGAGCCGAUGGGGUGCCAGGCAUUAGAAACCUUCCCUCCAAUCCUCACCAUGUCUCCAUUUUGCCAAAGAAGAAACUGAGGUUAAGGUCGCGAUGCUCUGGCCAGCAUCACAGGUGGGAUUCGAACGCAGAUGGGGUUUGGAGCGGCUCUUGUGUUUAAGCCACACAGUCUGACGUUAGACGGGUGAAUCCAGCCCUCGCAGGGCCUGGAGUGACCUAAGCCGAGAGGAGCUGGGCUGAAUCUCCAGGCGUUCCUUUCUUUCUGCCCUAGGAAAGCUUUGAAGUUCUUAUUUUCAGGUAAACG